AGGCGUUAGGUUCAGGCUCAGGUCGCACCGCUUUUUUCGAAAGUCUGCGGAAUGUACAGCACAAACGCGUCCAACCAGCCGGAGCGCUCCAAUUCCCAAGCAGCUCCAACUACAAGUUACUUGAGUCGCGAGGUACGCACUGCAGCCGAGCACACAGAGCCUGUCAAUCUGACUCAGCAGCAGCUGCCCGUCACGGACUAUGUCCAACGCUCCUAUGUGGAGCAGCGUGCACUUCCCACUUCCGACUAUUCCGCGCGCUCCCAGCUAGAACAGUCCAAUCUCAGCACAGAACGCUUCAUGCAGCAGCGGGCGCCGCCGCCUAAUCCAGAGUAUAACAGACCCCGAGCCAGCUUGGAGCGCACCGAUUACACCGCUAAAGAACGCACCAGCACUGAAACCAACAACAACAGCAACAAUUACAACGAUUAUGUGCUCCAGGAGCGUUCCAAUCCCAACUAUGUUUUGCCAUCGCAGAUGCGUCCAGCUGCGGGGCCACCACAGCACCGUCCGCCCUUUGCGGGCGCACGUCCCAUGGUGGGCGUGGGGCCACGUCCACCGCUGCCGCCCAAUAUGGCAGCCAGGCCCAUGCCACCGCCGCUGCGCCCAACCGACAGCAAGAGCAACUUGCUCAUGGGCCCGCCACCACCAGCCAUGCGGCCGGGCAUGCCGCCCGCACGUAUGCCCAACCAGGGCGGACCACUUAGCCCACCAGGGCAGGGCGCGCCCAGGCCUCAAGGCGGAUUUCCCUGGUCGGCGGGAGGCAUGCCGCCGCCACCGGGCGCACGUCCGCCACAGAACAUGUCUCGACCGCCGCCGCCCACAUUUGCGCGUCCCAUGCCAGGGCAGCCGCUGCAGGCGCCUUUCCGUCCGCCGCUCUACAACCAGCAGCAGCAGCAGCAGCACCAGCAGCAGCAAUUGCAACAGCUGCAGCAGCAACAACAAUUGCAGCAGCCGCAGCAACAGCAGCAUCAGCCACGCCCACCCUCAGCCAGCAGUGUGCACAAUGAGGAUGACGAUGACGUCAUCAUGGGUCAAGCCUUAACCCCGCUCAAGAGCUACAGCAUGAAGGCUGAUCCCAUGGGCUCCCCACUGCUAGAGGAAACAGAGCCCCCAUUUGAAGCCACAUCGCCAACAGAUGCAUUGCCCAAGUCACAGGGCGGUUACAAGGGUGACAAUGACAGCGGCGUGGAUGAAUCGACUCAGGAGAAGGAUCGCAACGGACCGCAUUCGCCCAGCUCGCCGGUCAAGACGCCCACAUCAAGCUCAUCGAAGCCAGACAAGUCGGGCAUAUCGCGCCCUCCGAGUGCCACGCCCUCAAAUAAAUCAGCAUCCAAGUCGCGCAGCGCCUCCAAGAAUCGUUUGCUGCUAAAGACACCCGAGCCUGAGCCGGCCAAGAAAGUUCCAAUGAACAAGGUACAGGUGGGACAUGCCCCUUCGCCCAAUCUGAAGGCGGUACGCUCCAAAAUUGGUUCGCUGGACAAUGCUACCUAUAAGCCCGGCGGCGGUCAUGUUAAAAUUGAGUCCAAGAAAAUUGAGAUUAAGGCAGCGCCACGCAUCGAGGCCAAGAAUGACAAGUAUAUGCCCAAGGGUGGCGAAAAGAAGAUAGUAACAACAAAGUUGCAGUGGAAUGCAAAAUCGAAAAUUGGUUCGCUGGAGAAUGCCGCCCAUAAGCCCGGCGGCGGCGAUAAAAAGAUCGAGUCCCUCAAAAUGGACUUCAAGGACAAGGCCAAGCCGAAGGUCGGCUCCAAGGACAAUGUGAAGCAUCAGCCCGGCGGCGGCGAUAUCAAGGAUAACAACACAAAGAAUAUACAAUCGCAAAAAAUAGAAAUUAAGGCACAAAGCAAAGUUGGCUCGAUGGAUAAUGUUAAGCACAAGCCCGGUGGCGGUGAGAAGAAGAUUUUCGAUGAUAAGGAUUAUUUGAAAAAUGUUGAACACUCUGUUGCACUGACAACACCACCAACACAGGAAUAUAUAUAUACAUUUUAUUAGUCAUAGUCAUACGAAAACUCUUAACCAAGUGCAUUAAAUUCGAAACAGAAAAGAACCGUAUACUCGUACUAUACUAAUGUGACGUCCAUUAAACCGACUUCUAGUUAUGAAACGAUGCGAUUUUAUGCCAUAUUUUCGUAUAACGCUCACGAUUAAAGUCCUAGUCCACAACCAUCCAUGACGGCUUCAACAAGCGGCGCUGAUGAAAAUUUAAAUCAACAAAGUUAAAUCCAGUCCAAAUAUGCAUGUUGAGCUGAAGUUUUACUUUCGUUUGAUGCAAAUUUGCAAAUUACAUAAAUUGCAAAAGAAGAAAAAAACUAAAUUGAAAAUAACAAAUAAAAAAAAAAGAAUUUUGAACAAAGCUUAUUUGAAAAAUGUAAUCUUAAGCAAAAGUUACACAAAUUGAAAUAUAUGCAAUAAUUACCACACAAUACGAGUAUUUACUCAAAAUUAAAUUGUGCAAGCACACAACACACACUCCGUUACAAAAAUAAAAUAAAAUAAAUUAUAUGAUUAGUUGAUCUAUGCACUAUUUAUCAAUCAGAUACCAAGGCAAAUGCAUAAACUAUAUAAAUCUUUAUAUACAAACAAUAAGCAAAUUUCAUAUACUACAACAAACAUAUAUAUUGAAAAAAAUAAUUAAAAUAAAAAAGAAAGUAUCUAAAGUAAUAAGAAAUUAUACAAAGCAUAAACAGUUAGUUAUUUGCAUAUAUAUAUAUAUAUAUAUAUCAACUGUGUGCUUUACGUGUAGUUAAAUGUGUUGAAAAAUAAAAUGAAAAGUGAAACAUGAAAACUAUCAGAUACAAGUUCGCAAUUCAUAUACAAAUUUAGAUACUUUUACUUUUUGCAAAAACCGCAACCGAUUCGAGUACCACAAUUUAAGCAUACAUAUUAUAUGAUAUAUAUUUUAUAAUUUGUACGAGUAAACAUAAUAAUUAGACAAAUGCAUCAUUCUCACAAUUUAUUUACACCACUCUCCUUUGUUACAAAAAUGUAAGAACAAAAAAAAAAAACAAAAAAAAAGAGAAUUUCAAGCGUAAUAAAACAAAUCUUUUUUCAUUUACCAAAUAUAAA